rnacentral:rRNA from 1 species
UAUACCGGCUGGGCGGCGGCUUUACACAUGCAAGUCGAGCGGAGAGAGGUAGCUUGCUACUGAUCUUACCGGUGGACGGGUGAGUAAUGCUUAGGAAUCUGCCUAUUAGUGGGGGACAACAUUUCGAAAGGAAUGCUAAUACCGCAUACGUCCUACGGGAGAAAGCAGGGGAUCUUCGGACCUUGCGCUAAUAGAUGAGCCUAAGUCGGAUUAGCUAGUUGGUGGGGUAAAGGCCUACCAAGGCGACGAUCUGUAACGGGUCUGAGAGGAUGAUCCGCCACACUGGGACUGAAACACGGCCCAGACUCCUACGGGAGGCAGCAGUGGGGAAUAUUGGACAAUGGGCGCAAGCCUGAUCCAGCCAUGCCGCGUGUGUGAAGAAGGCCUUAUGGUUGUAAAGCACUUUAAGCGAGGAGGAGGCUACUUUAGUUAAUACCUAGAGAUAGUGGACGUUACUCGCAGAAUAAGCACCGGCUAACUCUGUGCCAGCAGCCGCGGUAAUACAGAGGGUGCAAGCGUUAAUCGGAUUUACUGGGCGUAAAGCGCGCGUAGGCGGCUAAUUAAGUCAAAUGUGAAAUCCCCGAGCUUAACUUGGGAAUUGCAUUCGAUACUGGUUAGCUAGAGUGUGGGAGAGGAUGGUAGAAUUCCAGGUGUAGCGGUGAAAUGCGUAGAGAUCUGGAGGAAUACCGAUGGCGAAGGCAGCCAUCUGGCCUAACACUGACGCUGAGGUGCGAAAGCAUGGGGAGCAAAACAGGAUUAGAUACCCCUGGUAGUCCAUGCCGUAAACGAUGUCUACUAGCCCGUUGGGGGCCUUUGAGGCUUUAGUGGCGCAGCUAACGCGAUAAGUAGACCCGCCCUGGGGAGUACGGUCGCCAAGACUAAAACUUCAAAUGAACUUGACGGGAGGC